UACGGAGGGAGCUAGCGUUGUUCGGAAUUACUGGGCGUAAAGCGCACGUAGGCGGCUAUUCAAGUCAGAGGUGAAAGCCCGGGGCUCAACCCCGGAACUGCCUUUGAAACUAGGUAGCUAGAAUCUUGGAGAGGUCAGUGGAAUUUCGAGUGUAGAGGUGAAAUUCGUAGAUAUUCGGAAGAACACCAGUGGCGAGGGCGACUGACUGGACAAGUAUUGACGCUGAGGUGCGAAAGCGUGGGGAGCAAACAGG
rnacentral:rRNA from 1 species